UUCGCAAUGCCCGAAAGGGUGACGAAGCGACGCCGCGUGGGUGAGGAAGGCCUUCGGGUUGUAAAGCCCUGUCAGGAGUUAAGAAAUAUAAGUGCGCUAAUAUCGCAUUUAUUUGACGAAGGCUCCAAAGGAAGCCACGGCUAACUCUGUGCCAGCAGCCGCGGUAAUACAGAGGUGGCAAGCGUUGUUCGGAAUUAUUGGGCGUAAAGAGCACGUAGGUGGGUUCGUAAGUCAGAUGUGAAAGCCUUCUGUUCAACGGAAGAAUUGCAUCUGAAACUACAAGUCUUGAGUGUAGGAGGGGAGAAUGGAACUUCUGGUGGAGCGGUGAAAUGCGUAGAUAUCAGAAGGAACGCCGGCGGCGAAAGCGAUUCUCUGGCCUAUUACUGACACUCAGUGUGCGAAAGCUAGGGGAGCAAACGGGAUUAGAUACCCCGGUAGUCCUAGCUGUAAACGAUGGGCACUAAGUAGAGGGGUUUU
rnacentral:rRNA from 1 species